AGAUGCAGCACAUUGGCUCAUGGAUGGACUGGCUGCGCUUUCCUUCAUCUCUGCCAAACUCUUUCCUGGUACCCAGACCUAAAUUGAGCAAUGUGUGAGACCUGGUGGAGCCACAAGAUGGAAGGCAAUGGGUCCCUGAAUGACUGCAUGGAAGCCAUCUACCAAGUAGGAACAUGGACAAUGAACUUUGCAGGAGUGUGGGAUAUUUUCUGUUCUCCUCAAUUGACUACCCAUGUAACUGACAGUGGCUGCCAUUCACCGAAUGCCCACGAAAUGCCUGGGACCUAGCUUGGCCAUUCCUGUGAUAAUAGCUAACAUUUAUUGAGCUUUACGGUACUUUGUCCCCUACUCUUCUGUUUGAAGCACUUUUCAUGUGUUAACUCAUUCAAUGUUACAACAACCCAAGAAAUAGGUGCUGUUAUAAUCCCCAUGUUAUAGAUUAGGAAACUGAGGCACAAGAUGGUAAGCAACUUGCCUGCUAUCACACAGCAAGUAAGCUGACUCCUGAGUCCCAGCUAAGCUAAUCUAUGCUGUUCUUACUUUAUUUGCAUACUAG